rnacentral:rRNA from 1 species
GUCGAGCGAUGAAACUUCUUCGGAAGUGGAUUAGCGGCGGACGGGUGAGUAACACGUGGGCAACCUGCCCUAUAGAGGGGAAUAGCCUUCCGAAAGGAAGAUUAAGACCCCAUAAGAUUGUAGCUUCACAUGGAGCAGCAAUUAAAGGAGCAAUCCGCUAUAGGAUGGGCCCGCGGCGCAUUAGCUAGUUGGUGAGGUAACGGCUCACCAAGGCGACGAUGCGUAGCCGACCUGAGAGGGUGAUCGGCCACAUUGGGACUGAGACACGGCCCAGACUCCUACGGGAGGCAGCAGUGGGGAAUAUUGCACAAUGGGGGAAACCCUGAUGCAGCAACGCCGCGUGAGUGAUGAAGGCCUUCGGGUUGUAAAGCUCUGUCUUUGGGGACGAUAAUGACGGUACCCAAGGAGGAAGCCACGGCUAACUACGUGCCAGCAGCCGCGGUAAUACGUAGGUGGCAAGCGUUGUCCGGAUUUACUGGGCGUAAAGGGAGCGUAGGCGGACUUUUAAGUGGGAUGUGAAAUACUCGGGCUCAACCUGAGUGCUGCAUUCCAAACUGGAAGUCUAGAGUGCAGGAGGGGAAAGUGGAAUUCCUAGUGUAGCGGUGAAAUGCGUAGAUAUUAGGAAGAACACCGGUGGCGAAGGCGACUUUCUGGACUGUAACUGACGCUGAGGCUCGAAAGCGUGGGGAGCGAACAGGAUUAGAUACCCUGGUAGUCCACGCCGU